rnacentral:rRNA from 1 species
GAUCCUGGCUCAGGAUGAACGCUAGCUACAGGCUUAACACAUGCAAGUCGAGGGGCAGCAUGAUUGAAGCUUGCUUCAAUUGAUGGCGACCGGCGCACGGGUGAGUAACACGUAUCCAACCUUCCGUACACUCAGGGAUAGCCUUUCGAAAGAAAGAUUAAUACCCUGAUGGUAUACUUAAGCACACAGUAGUAAUUAAGAAUUAAAGUAUUUAGUCGGUGUACGAGUGGGAUGCGUU